rnacentral:rRNA from 1 species
GACGAACGCUGGCGGCGUGCCUAAUACAUGCAAGUCGAACGCUUCUUUCCUCCCGAGUGCUUGCACUCAAUUGGAAAGAGGAGUGGCGGACGGGUGAGUAACACGUGGGUAACCUACCCAUCAGAGGGGGAUAACACUUGGAAACAGGUGCUAAUACCGCAUAACAGUUUAUGCCGCAUGGCAUAAGAGUGAAAGGCGCUUUCGGGUGUCGCUGAUGGAUGGACCCGCGGUGCAUUAGCUAGUUGGUGAGGUAACGGCUCACCAAGGCCACGAUGCAUAGCCGACCUGAGAGGGUGAUCGGCCACACUGGGACUGAGACACGGCCCAGACUCCUACGGGAGGCAGCAGUAGGGAAUCUUCGGCAAUGGACGAAAGUCUGACCGAGCAACGCCGCGUGAGUGAAGAAGGUUUUCGGAUCGUAAAACUCUGUUGUUAGAGAAGAGCAAGGACGUUAGUAACUGAACGUCCCCUGACGGUACCUAACCAGAAAGCCACGGCUAACUACGUG